UUGCCAUCUUUUUUUCAGCAAGCCUUCAGUUAUUGAAGCUUGCACUUUCUUACAUUAAGAAUGGCCGUUACACGAUGCCUGUGCACGGUUAUCCAUAGCUACGGAAUGGUUUGUUUUCUUUUUCACCGUCAGCCCGUUUGGAUAUGUGUGUCAGUGUGGGGGCUACUCUGGUAAAGCUUUUAGCCUAGUAACGUUAGCGCAAUUCAGAACAACAAAGCUUUGUGGGAUGUAGCACUAGCUAGCUACUCAACCAGAGGAGCAGAGCACUAGCCCAGGGGUAUUCAACAUGGGGUCCGCGAGGUACUGCAAGAUGGAUUGUUUGAACUAGGUUGGAAUGGUUUGUCAUUUUAGAUUUAUUGCGGAAGGGACUUGAUGAACAAUCAACAUCCAUACAGGCAGAGCUGAGUUUGUUUGAUGCGUCCUUUCUGUAGGGCACACAAGCGAUUCAGUGAACUCCUCUCUAAAGAGGACAGAAACCUCACCAGUGUGCCCAUGGAGAAAGUCCUUUCACUGCCAGAACUCAAGUCCAAACCUUUCAGGAAAAGGAUCUGCCAUGUAUUCUCAACAUCUGAUAUGAAAGAUGGAAGUCUCACCUUUGAGGACUUUCUUGAUCUCUUGAGUGCCUUCAGCGAUUCAGCUACACUGGAAAUCAAGUCCCACUAUGCAUUCUACAUUUUUGACUUUGAUGACGAUGGCACGGACCUGGAGAAGCUGGUGAACUGUUUGACUGAUUCUUGAAGAGUCAGAUAUAGACAAAGAUGGGACAGUAAAUCUGUCAGAGUUCCAACAUGUUAUCUCCAGGUCACCAGAUUUCGUCAGUUCUUUUAAGAUUGUGCUGUGAAGUCUACGAAUAACACACCAGGAUAUGGAUGCUUUGGAUUCUGUUCUAUUCAUACUAAGAGGACCUCUUCUAUUUUUUUUCAUUGUAAUACCAAUAACUUUGAGAUUUUGCCUUAAAUUAUACAGAGUGCCCCCCCCCCCCCCCCAGACUAAAGGUUCCUAAGCUUUUGGGCAUGUGCGGAUCACGCACUGCGCAUGUUUUUACCUCUACUUGACACAUACAUUUGUGUUGUAUCUUUCCUUUCACAUAUCUCAUUGUCAAUCGUGAAUGAUAGAUAAUAAUGGAGUCUUUGUAGGCACCAACUCCGCAGUGGUUCAUUGGACAAAGCCUAAGGGGAAAUUAAUGGUGUUUUUGGAUAAAUGCCAUAAAUAAGUUUAGGUAAACACAGGCUUAAGAGAUUUUUUUGGUUCUGAGAAUCUUCAUCAGCUAACAUCACUUUCUUGAAUUUUGAAGAAUUCAUAUAAUCAACAACAAAAAAAGCAUAGCACAAAGGCUUAAUUCAUAAAGGUCAUGUUAACUGACUGGUAUUAUCUGAUAUAACAAAACAUAAGAUCUCCUCAGCCUGUGUUAACCUCAGACCUUAUUUUCUGCAUUUAUUCCAAAACCCUAUUCUUUCCCCAUUCAUUUUUCACAGGGAUGGCUGAAAAAAAAACAAAGGUAACUAAUUUCCUGGGUUUUAGGACUACACGCUGGCGAGCUCUGGUAAUUCAAGUUUUUAGCAGUUAAACGUCCAUGCAGCAAGGGAUCUGCAUACCAACCAUUUGAUCUCAUCAGCUUCAUGGGAUAUGCAUUUAGUCUUUGUGUUAUUGUCGUUUCGAAUUAUGGGCUAGUGAGCCAAUUUUAGAGCAGAUGUUAAACUGUAGCAUAGUUUAGGCUGUGUUUUUGCCAAGUGGCCACAUGGAUUAUUUUUUUGUUGUUGUCGGACAGUCAUUUUAUAUUCGGUUCUGUUUUGUAGAAUACCAUCAUUGUGAUCUUGCAGACAUUGAAUCAGCUUUGAUCAAACUUUAUUAAACAAGCUCCAUUAGCCAGAGUAGCACAGAGUGUGCGUAAAGUAGAGAAUAAUUUUUCCGGGGGGGAAAGGUUUGGGAAAGUGUAUUUCUACAUCAUGUCAGUGCUCUCUUAACGGAAACUUUUUCAAAUCUAUAAAGAGCUAGAAUAUAAGUAAUCAAGUCUUAGUCACUGACUUUACUUUAUUUGUCUGAAACAAGCAGCUAGUCAAUCAAUCUGUGCAAUGUCCUUAGUGCUCAACUCCUACAGGCAGUUUUUCCAUUCUAUGUAGGAUAUGUGUCAGGAUGGAGAGAGGGGUCCUCUUUGAUAGCAGAAACAAAAGUGUUCCAUGGUCCACACACUACAUCCACCACACGCAGCCCCUGGUCCUUGAAAAACUCUACCCUUCUUGGCUCGUCUGAACUGUUCUCAGUCCCCUGUCCCAGCUGGCCGUAUUCACCUGAAAAGGAUGCAAAUGUGAAGCUUGUAGCCGUGCAUAUGAGAAAAGGCCAUGUCUAUCCAUUCAUUGAUAUGAAUUCCUGGGUGAAACACAUAAUGGCUAUUUAUUCAAUACACAGGCCUACUCAAAGCCACGUAGACUACAAUAUUUGACAUUUAAAGCUUGCACCAGUAGACUAGAAUAUUUUAAAGCUUACCCCAGCCCCAAGUGUAGAGAUCACCUGUACCUGUAAAAUAAAUAGAAAAAAUACUCAGUCUCUAAAUUAGUAGUUUGAGGCAGCUUGGGUGAAGGGCUCUUACUUGUGACUGCCGCAGUGUGACGCGACCCACAGCUGAUCUUGCUGACCUCACAUGACUGAGUAACAUCCACCAGGGCUGGGAAGGCCUGUAUUGAUAUGAACACCUCAUCGUAGCUCUCUUCAUCUUUACAUGUGCUGGCACCACCUAAACAUACAGCAGUUCAGAUAUAACAUAUUUAUAUGUUGUCUAGCUACACCAGUCCAGAACCUCAAUGUAGGUGUUUUGCAACGCAGCCAAUUAGAGGGUCUAUAAGUAUCAUCCAUUUGCCUGUAUGAACACUGAAUUUUAAAACGAGCUGAGCUGGUGGGUCUGCCCUCCCAAAAUAUAACACAGAUUUCAGACAGGCAGACCUGUGUCCUGGCUCUUCUGCUGCUCUCCUCUUAGGGCUCGUGAUGGCAGUCCCACCUGGCCACUCUCAUUCCAGCCCCACACGUACAGGUCUCCCCCAGCUGUGGACCAGACUAGUGAUCAAAUUGACUGAAUAAUGUAAUGUAAUGCAAUGCAAUCACUCUACUUUAUCAUUCUUUUGUAAGUUCCAUCCCAGUCAGUCUCUCUUACCACUGGUGCAGACAGAGUGCCAACCCCCAGCGGCCACAGUGCUCAUGGACAUACCCAUUAGUGCCUCCAUUGCUCUGGGCUCCUCCUGCGGGCUCAGGUCCCCAUGUCCCAGCUGCCCAUGGCUGCCAACACAAGGAAGUGAGGUUUUCAGAACAUUUAAUACAGAUCCUAUGCUGUCGUUCAUUCUGCCAUGUCUGAUGUACCCAAAAUAGUCAUCAGUAACCUAUGAAAGGUGAGCUGAAAAAAUGCCUAUUGAUUAAACUGUUGUACAGGAUUUGUUAAUUCCAUUACGAAACAUGACAUUUGUUGUCUUCACCUGCCUGAGCCCCAGGUGUAGAUGUCUCCAGAUGCAGUGAGGAGGACUGCGUGCUCUGUGCCUAGUGCCAGGCUAACAGCCUGUAGUUGUGGGGAAAGUGGGCGGUAAAAGGGAGGGUUGGAAGCUAUGUACCCUCCUGGAACCAAUGGGAAUGUUAGUGAGGGCCCUACAAAACACACAAGAAUGCAUUAUGAUUACAACAUUAUUGAAAUGCAACUAUUGAUUAGAGCUUCAAUAUAUUUGCCACACACCUGUACAUGGACCUGAGUGGGGGAAAUAACCAUAUUUACUUAAUUCUAGGGGUUGUGGGUGGUACCAACUAUGCUACAGCACCAGUCAGUAUGAAUCAAUACCAGUAUUAUCUGGAAUCACCAUACUCCACCCUGGUUUCUUCUCAUUUCGCUCAGAGUUCCAGCACUCUACUCUGUCUGCGAAAGACAGGGCCAGAUAUCCCUCGCUGAUAUGUGCAUCCUGGCACCCUCGGCUUUCCUCUACACAGCCGCCACAUCCUCUCUGACUGGGGGCCCCUACUCCAAAACCUGCCAAACACAGCCUUCCAUCACCUGAAAUGCAAACAAAUGAUACAGUUAAGGGGAAACUUUGAAACAGUCCAUGUAGGUUUACGAAUUGAGGUACAUGAUUGCAACUUAAUUGAUACACAGGAAACUGGUUCAUGCAGUUAUCAACCUUUCACUGCGGUCUCUGGUUGAGCGGUCUGCCAGUUAUUUUCACGAGAAGGCAGCCCUUACAAAAAAAUAUAACAGUUUUGAAACUGCAGUCGACGGGUAUUUUGGACGCAGGAUUUGGCAGCAUGUAACUGACAGUUAGACUUACAGGUUAUGUCGUUGUCUUUUGUUUGAAUUGUUUACGUGUCCGCUGUGCGGGGGAAAUGAUAAUAAAAGCGGAACUUACGUAGCUAAUACUGUU